rnacentral:lncRNA from 1 species
UACCUGAACUCUCUGCACGACAUCAGCGAUGAGCCAGAGUGCACGAUACCUUUCAACUUCGACUUUGAGCAGCACGCACUCUCAGAGGAGCAGAUGAAGGAGCUCAUAUACCGUGAAGCGCUUGCAUUCAAUCCAGAGUAUCAGCCAGCAAUAGCUUGAAUGGGAUCAGGUUUGGUUUUGAUCUUGACAAGAUUCUUGAAAGGAGGAAACAUCAUUGUUUCUCUUCUGUGUAUACUUGUGAGAGAUGCUUGAAGGGGGUAUGUGGCUCAAACGUUAAGUCUCGGUAAGGUUUUUUUUUUUCUUUCUUUUUGUCUUCUACGUAUUGUAAUUUACCCUCAUUUCUUGUUACAAGUAUUAGGACAUAAGUUAAGAUCGUCUCAGAAAUAGUUUUCAUGUAUUACAAGAUGUUCGUUUCCAGCAAUAUCAAAUUUUUUUUUGCUUUGUAAAACAUAAGGAAUAUGAGAUUAUUGUAAUUUUGAAUUCCAAAAAGAUCAAAUAAGAACUAUUAAUAUUGCAGAGAAGAUGAGAAUGAUUGAAUGAAGCAACUGUUGACCUCAUCUUCACUUUGGCUUGAGUGUCUGCCUCUGUAUUACGCGACCUUAAGGAUAGUUCAGAACUACAGAACUAAAUUAUACCUCGCAAAAUCGAAAAAGGCACAUAACUAAACCCAAGAAUAUGCGACCUUAAUUGCCCCAAGUAGCUUACUAUUCUCAAGUGAUAUUCACAUAUCUAUUCAGUAAGAGACAUUUGGAACCUUAGACGAUAUCAGCUUCAAGUGAGAUCUCAUCAAAAAUAGAGUUUUAAGAAAUAACUACCCAGAUUCUUACGAAACUAGCCAUUAUCUUUGGUAUGGUUGAAAUUAUCAUUAUAGUUUUAACUUAGUAGUUACUAGUUAGUAAUUAUGAAAAAACAAUGUGUGUAUAUAUAGGUAUAAUUUAGUUUAUUGAUGAUGAUUUAGCGUUGUUUACAAAUCAUAUGUAAUGGAAUUAUUUCAAAACAAAGCAUUAACGGAAACAAUUUACCGGUAAAUACGUAAUUGACAAUUUUACCAAAAUUAAGAUUCUGUUUUAAAUGAGAGCAAAGAGAAAUCAGAUAAUUAACCAUGUACAUUCCAUAACAAUAAAUAAUCAACCAAAGCAAUACAAUAGAAACAAUCCAAUAUUAGCCGAUGAUUACUAAUUAGUAACAAGAUUCAAGUUCUUAUUUUUAGAAAUAGAUGUAUUCUAAUAGUUCAUGGAAACAUAUUAACUCUAUAUAAGCAUAUACAGUAGAGCAACACUUUUCAUCGUGUCUUAUUCAUUAGUAGCACAGAAUCCUUACUUUUAUAUACCCUAAACAAAAUAAGAAGAUGACUUGCAUUGCUUCUACGUUUAAGGCUUUGUGUUUUUCUUUCUUGUUCGUCGCCGCCGUAGCAAGUCGUCCGACCAACAGGCCAAAGGUUUUUAACGUCCAACGUUAUGGUGCCAAAGCUGACGGAAAAACUGAUAACGCCAAGGUAUAUAUACAUAACCAAUAUAGAAACACUCAAAAAUAAACAUUUUACCAACUUUUUUUGUUUAACUUGUUCAAAAUUAGGCGUUCACAAGCAUAUGGAACAGCGCAUGCACAAGGAAAGGUGGUAAUAGUAAAAUCUACGUGCCCAAAGGAACAUUUUAUCUCAGUGGUCUAGAGUUCGUAGGGCCAUGCGUGAAUCAGAUUGAAUUCGUUAAACGAUGGAACCUUGUUGGCUCCUGCAAACCCUAGGGACAUUAAGCAGGACAUAUGGAUCAACUUCAGGUACAUUAACAAUCUUAUUAUCUCCGGUGCCGGUACACUCGACGGCCAAGGGGAAGAGUCUUGGCCACUAAAUGACUGCCACAAAAAUCCCAAUUGUCCUAAGCUAGCUAUGGUACCACUUCUUAAUCCUUUUACAUAUUGCUUUAUUAUAUGAUUUUACAAUGAAAAUUAUGUAAUUCAGUUAUUUUCUAUUACACGGUGAAUUUGUAGAUUUAAUUAUUUAGAUACAAAACGUUAUGAAAACGAAUAUCAUUUUGAAGAAGGUAAUAUCCACAUAGCUACAUUUUAGAGCUUGCCCAUUUGUAAAGUAUUUCAAUAUGGUGUCUGUCUCCACUAAAAAUCAUAUUUUAAGUUAUUGAUUAUGUUACAAUAUUUAUAGAGAGUCGCAGUACCUAAAACCCAGUAGAGUAUCUACUAAAAUAUCACAGAAGCUAAGUUCUUAUUUGAAAAACUAUUGUUUCACUUUUCUAUUUUUAUUUCUUUUGUUUUAAUUUUUAGAUACCCAAAGAGUGUUUUUGAUUCAGGUCACCUAAUGUCUUACUAAACUUAAUUAUUCUCACAGACCAUGGGAUUUGCAUUCGUGAACAACUCAAGAAUCAAUGGGAUAACAUCAAUCAACAGCAAAAUGGGACACUUCAACUUCUUCUCUGUCCAUCACUUCAACAUCACCAAUGUCACUAUAACAGCUCCCGGCGAUAGCCCCAACACCGACGGGUUAAAGUUCGGGUUCUGUAGCAACAUUAACAUCUCCAACACACACAUUGGUACGGGAGACGACUGUAUCGCCAUCCUUUCUGGAACCACCAACAUGGAUAUCUCUAACGUCACCUGUGGUCCCGGACAUGGGAUCAGUGUCGGAAGCUUAGGGAAGAACAAAGAAGAGAAGGACGUUAAUGGCUUAACCGUAAGAGACAUAGUCUUUAACGGCACUAGCGAUGGUAUUCGGAUCAAAACUUGGGAAUCUUCAGCUUCGAAGAUAUUGGUUUCUAACUUCGUGUACGAAAAUAUUCAAAUGAUUAACGUUGGAAACCCUAUCAACAUCGACCAGAAGUAUUGUCCUCACCCACCCUGUGAAAAGAAGGUGAACUCUCUACGCGAGAUACAAACUUAUAUAAUUAUUUUCUCUUCUUAUUACAACAAAAAAAAGUUGUUCAUUAUUUUUUCAGGGAGAGUCACACGUUCAAAUCCAAGACCUUAAGUUAAAGAACAUAUAUGGAACAUCGACGAACAAAGUGGCGGUGAAUCUACAAUGUAGCAAGAGCUUUCCGUGCAAGAAGGUUGAGCUAAUUGACAUUAACCUAGAGCAUAAGGGAGUCGAGGGUGGUCCUUCCACUGCGGUAUGUGAGAAUGUUGACGGUUCUGCACGUGGCAAGAUGGUUCCUCAGCAUUGUCUGAACUGAUUUGACGACCCAUAGGAGCAAUGACCGUGCGUUGUACUACUUUAUAUUUUCCGUGUUUUUGUAUCAUUUAUAAUCUCUGUGUCUUUGCUUCUUCUUCUUUCUUUUUCUGCUAGUUUAUGAAAGUUUUUGAUUGGUGCAAUAAUAAAGAAGUGAAUACACUUGUGUUUUUUUGUCUUUGGUCUAUUUUUUUAUUGUUUCAUAGACAAAAAAAAAAAGAGUACAAUCUUAAGUCUUGUAAGGUUUUAUUUUCUCUCUUUUUGUCUUCUAUGUAUUGUAAUUUACCCUCAUUUCUUGUUGCAAGUAUUAAGACAUAAGUUAAGAUCGUCUCAGAAAUAGUUUUCGUGCAUUACAAGACGUUCUUUUCCAGCAUAUAGUAUCAAAAGAUCUUAUUGUUUAAGAUGCGAGUCUCAGAAUAAUGUGUAUAUCAUCUCCAACUAAUUGGACGAUUGCUAUCUUUGUGCUAUCAGAUUGUUGCAAUCAGAGACAUAAUACCACCACCGCUUAGAACCGGUUUCAAUGAUGUUUACAUCGCUUAUGAGCUAAUGGACACUGAUCUCCAUCAGAUCAAUAUAGCCAAGGCUUAUCCAAAGAACAUUGCCACGUUACCUUUAAGUUCUUGAGAUUGUUUUUUUUUUUUCACCUAUUAGCCAGACUUGAAACCUGUAAUAAUUUUCAUCUUUCUUCUUGUGUGCAGUACUUUCUUUACCAGAUCCUCCGUGGAUUGAAGUACAUUCACUCCGCAAAUGCUAACGUUUGAUCCGAUUCCUAGACGGAGAAUCUCAGGUCAGUGCACACUCUAUAAGGAGUUAUAUUGACUCUUGAAUACGUUAGUCCUCACAUUUUUUUGAUUCUUGAUUCUUGAUUGCAGUUUUAGACGCGCUGGCACAUCCAUACCUGAACUCUCUACACGACAUUAGCGAUGAGACAGAGUGCACGAUACCUUUCAACUUCGACUUUGAGCAGCACGCACUCUCAGAGGAGCAGAUGAAGGAGCUCAUACACCGUGAAGCGCUUGCAUUCAAUCCAGAGUAUCAGCCAGCAAUAGCUUGAAUGGGAGCAGGUUUGGUUUUGAUCUUGACAAGAUUCUUGAAAGGAGGAAACAACCAUUGUUUCUCUUCUGUGUAUACUCGUGAGAGAUGCUUGAAGGGGGUAUGUGAGGAUCAAUGUGGCUCAAACGUUAAGUCUCGGUAAGGUUUUUUUUUCUCUCUCUUUUU